rnacentral:rRNA from 1 species
GACGAACCGUGCGAACGUUGUUCGGAUUCACUGGGCUUAAAGGGCGCGUAGGCGGGCGAUCAAGUCAGGGGUGAAAUCUUUCGGCUCAACCGGAAAAGGGCCUUUGAUACUGGUCGCCUCGAGGGAGGUAGGGGCAUGCGGAACUUCCGGUGGAGCGGUGAAAUGCGUAGAUAUCGGAAGGAACGCCGGUGGCGAAAGCGGCGUGCUGGACCUCUUCUGACGCUGAGGCGUGAAAGCCAGGGGAGCGAACGGG